AUUGAUAUUCGUAACAUGAAGUUAACUUUGAUUGCGGAUGGUUAUGCAGAAGUCUGUACACAUAUAUUUGUUGUAAUUCAUAGAUCAUCGUACUGCGAUAUGUGUUAUUAUGUGCAGCUUUGAACAUGUAAUCUUCGUUGUAAAAUCUUCAUUUGUUUUGAUUUUUGUUUUGAUUUUUCAAUAUAUAUGCUUGUAUAUGAUAUAAAUAAAAAACGUGUAAGAC
rnacentral:lncRNA from 1 species